GAGAGAGAGAGAGAGAGAGAGAGAGAGAUGGCAUAGCUGACCUACAGUGAAGGGACAUAAUGAGGAUGACAGAUAACCCCUUUUGAAAAACCGGGCACACAAACAAUCCACAUCCUUCUUCAGGAGCACUCAUCUCAUGAAGGCCAGAGGAUGUGUCUUUUCUCUGAUUGGGGCAUUCUGGGAUUGUACAGCUUGUCCGAGGCCA